UGGUAGUNCACGCCGUAAACGAUGAGUGCUAGGUGUUAGGCCCUUUCCGGGGCUUAGUGCCGGAGCUAACGCAAUAAGCACUCCGCCUGGGGAGUACGACCGCAAGGUUGAAACUCAAAGGAAUUGACGGGGGCCCGCACAAGCGGUGGAGCAUGUGGUUUAAUUCGAAGCAACGCGAAGANCCUUACCAGGUCUUGACAUCCCGAUGCUAUUCUUAGAGAUAGGAAGUUACUUCGGUACAUCGGAGACAGGUGGUGCAUGGUUGUCGUCAGCUCGUGUCGUGAGAUGUUGGGUUAAGUCCCGCAACGAGCGCAACCCUUAUUGUUAGUUGCCAUCAUUAAGUUGGGCACUCUAGCGAGACUGCCGGUAAUAAACCGGAGGAAGGUGGGGAUGACGUCAAAUCAUCAUGCCCCUUAUGACCUGGGCUACACACGUGCUACAAUGGUCGGUACAACGAGUUGCGAGCCGGUGACGGCAAGCUAAUCUCUGAAAGCCGAUCUCAGUUCGGAUUGGAGGCUGCAACUCGCCUCCAUGAAGUCGGAAUCGCUAGUAAUCGCGGAUCAGCACGCCGCGGUGAAUACGUUCCCGGGCCUUGUACACACCGCCCGUCACACCACGAGAGUUUGUAACACCCGAAGUCGGUGAGGUANCCUUUUAGGG
rnacentral:rRNA from 1 species